GAUGAACGCUGGCGGCGUGCCUAAUACAUGCAAGUCGAGCGAACAGACGAGGAGCUUGCUCCUCUGACGUUAGCGGCGGACGGGUGAGUAACACGUGGAUAACCUACCUAUAAGACUGGGAUAACUUCGGGAAACCGGAGCUAAUACCGGAUAAUAUAUUGAACCGCAUGGUUCAAUAGUGAAAGACGGUUUUGCUGUCACUUAUAGAUGGAUCCGCGCCGCAUUAGCUAGUUAGUAAGGUAACGGCUUACCAAGGCGACGAUGCGUAGCCGACCUGAGAGGAUGAUCGGCCACACUGGAACUGAGACACGGUCCAGACUCCUACGGGAGGCAGCAGUAGGGAAUCUUCCGCAAUGGGCGAAAGCCUGACGGAGCAACGCCGCGUGAGUGAUGAAGGUCUUCGGAUCGUAAAACUCUGUUAUUAGGGAAGAACAAAUGUGUAAGUAACUAUGCACGUCUUGACGGUACCUAAUCAGAAAGCCACGGCUAACUACGUG
rnacentral:rRNA from 1 species